UUGCAGUGUACUAGCUGCACCCUAAUAAUUGAUUGUACCCCUGUUUUCAUUCCACAGUAAAUGAAAGGAAUCUAACACUGUGCUGAAGGUGGCAGUUUCCAAUCAAAUAAUGCAUUACAGAUUCAUAGCCUGCCUUUUUCUCACAAUAAGACAAUGAGAGCCAUGUAGCAGUAUUGAUUACGAUAUUUCUCAGCCUGCCAUGUUACUCAAAUUAGUUCAUUGGUUUGGGCUACAUUCUUCUUCUAAAUCCUGCUAGUCUGAAGAAACCCAAAAGAAUAAAGUAGCUGUUCCUAAGAGGUGUGUGUACCUUACUUCUCUUUGUGUUGCAUCUAUUAAAUCUGCAUAGGUGUUACUGUGAAGGAUUUUACAGAGGAUGGAUUGAUGAAGUCUCAUGGCCAAGGCUGAGUCAAAGGCAGAGUGUAUUAGCCCUGCUAAUGAAUGCUUUAUCUUUUCUCCAUCAAUAAUAUUUUAUUUUUAAAUGACCAUUACCUAAACAUUACAAUUAGAGCCUCUUCUUUGACAACCUUAAUUAAAUUGAAUUAAUAUUUAA